UACGAAGGGGGCUAGCGUUGCUCGGAAUCACUGGGCGUAAAGGGCGCGUAGGCGGCGUUUUAAGUCGGGGGCGAAAGCCUGUGGCUCAACCACAGAAUGGCCUUCGAUACUGGGACGCUUGAGUAUGGUAGAGGUUGGUGGAACUGCGAGUGUAGAGGUGAAAUUCGUAGAUAUUCGCAAGAACACCGGUGGCGAAGGCGGCCAACUGGACCAUUACUGACGCUGAGGCGCGAAAGCGUGGGGAGCAAACAGG
rnacentral:rRNA from 1 species